UAACACAUGCAAGUCGAGCGAGACCUUCGGGUCUAGCGGCGGACGGGUUAGUAACGCGUGGGAACGUGCCCUUCUCUGCGGAAUAGCCACUGGAAACGGUGAGUAAUACCGCAUACGCCCUUCGGGGGAAAGAUUUAUCGGAGAAGGAUCGGCCCGCGUUAGAUUAGAUAGUUGGUGGGGUAAUGGCCUACCAAGUCUACGAUCUAUAGCUGGUUUUAGAGGAUGAUCAGCAACACUGGGACUGAGACACGGCCCAAACUCCUACGGGAGGGCAGCAGUGGGGAAUCUUAGACAAUGGGCGCAAGCCUGAUCUAGCCAUGCCGCGUGUGUGAUGAAGGUCUUAGGAUCGUAAAGCACUUUCGCCAGGGGAUGAUAAUGACAGUACCUGGUAAAGAAACCCCGGCUAACUCCGUGCCAGCAGCCGCGGUAAAUACGGAGGGGGUUAGCGUUGUUCGGAAUUAACUGGGCGUAAAGCGUACGUAGGCGGAUCAGAAAGUUGGGGGUGAAAUCCCGGGGCUCAACCCCGGAACUGCCUCCAAAACUCCUGGUCUUGAGUUCGAGAGAGGUGAGUGGAAUUCCAAGUGUAGAGGUGAAAUUCGUAGAUAUUUGGAGGAACACCAGUGGCGAAGGCGGCUCACUGGCUCGAUACUGACGCUGAGGUACGAAAGUGUGGGGAGCAAACAGGAUUAGAUACCCUGGUAGUCCACACCGUAAACGAUGAAUGCCAGUCGUCCGGCAGUAUACUGUUCGGUGACACACCUAACGGAUUAAGCAUUCCGCCUGGGGAGUACGGUCGCAAGAUUAAAACACAAAGGAAUUGACGGGGGCCCGCACAAGCGGUGGAGCAUGUGGUUUAAUUCGAAGCAACGCGCAGAACCUUACCAACCCUUGACAUCCUGUGCUAACCCGAGAGAUCGGGCGUUCACUUCGGUGACGCAGUGACAGGUGCUGCAUGGCUGUCGUCAGCUCGUGUCGUGAGAUGUUCGGUUAAGUCCGGCAACGAGCGCAACCCACAUCCUUAGUUGCCAGCAGUUCGGCUGGGCACUCUAAGGAAACUGCCCGUGAUAGGCGGGAGGAAGGUGUGGAUGACGUCAAGUCCUCAUGGCCCUUACGGGUUGGGCUACACACGUGCUACAAUGGCAGUGACAAUGGGUUAAUCCCCAAAAGCUGUCUCAGUUCGGAUUGGGGUCUGCAACUCGACCCCAUGAAGUCGGAAUCGCUAGUAAUCGUGGAACAGCAUGCCACGGUGAAUACGUUCCCGGGCCUUGUACACACCGCCCGUCACACCAUGGGAGUUGGUUCUACCCGACGGCCGUGCGCCAACCUUUCGAGGAGGCAGCGGACCACGGUAGGAUCAGCGACUGGGGUG
rnacentral:rRNA from 1 species